rfam:Oryza sativa Japonica Group DNA, chromosome 2, cultivar: Nipponbare, complete sequence.
UGUUUGCUGUGAUGAUUCCUACAUGGACGGUAUCUUAGUAAGGAACCACUUGAAAAGGUGGUCCUCACGUGAUUACAUCCAAAACUGAUCAGAGAUUCUGAGCAAACA